GAUGAACGCUGGCGGCGUGCCUAAUACAUGCAAGUCGAGCGAACGGACGAGAAGCUUGCUUCUCUGAUGUUAGCGGCGGACGGGUGAGUAACACGUGGAUAACCUACCUAUAAGACUGGGAUAACUUCGGGAAACCGGAGCUAAUACCGGAUAAUAUUUUGAACCGCAUGGUUCAAAAGUGAAAGACGGUCUUGCUGUCACUUAUAGAUGGAUCCGCGCUGCAUUAGCUAGUUGGUAAGGUAACGGCUUACCAAGGCAACGACGCAUAGCCGACCUGAGAGGGUGAUCGGCCACACUGGAACUGAGACACGGUCCAGACUCCUACGGGAGGCAGCAGUAGGGAAUCUUCCGCAAUGGGCGAAAGCCUGACGGAGCAACGCCGCGUGAGUGAUGAAGGUCUUCGGAUCGUAAAACUCUGUUAUUAGGGAAGAACAUAUGUGUAAGUAACUGUGCACAUCUUGACGGUACCUAAUCAGAAAGCCACGGCUAACUACGUGCCAGCAGCCGCGGUAAUACGUAGGUGGCAAGCGUUAUCCGGAAUUAUUGGGCGUAAAGCGCGCGUAGGCGGUUUUUUAAGUCUGAUGUGAAAGCCCACGGCUCAACCGUGGAGGGUCAUUGGAAACUGGAAAACUUGAGUGCAGAAGAGGAAAGUGGAAUUCCAUGUGUAGCGGUGAAAUGCGCAGAGAUAUGGAGGAACACCAGUGGCGAAGGCGACUUUCUGGUCUGUAACUGACGCUGAUGUGCGAAAGCGUGGGGAUCAAACAGGAUUAGAUACCCUGGUAGUCCACGCCGUAAACGAUGAGUGCUAAGUGUUAGGGGGUUUCCGCCCCUUAGUGCUGCAGCUAACGCAUUAAGCACUCCGCCUGGGGAGUACGACCGCAAGGUUGAAACUCAAAGGAAUUGACGGGGACCCGCACAAGCGGUGGAGCAUGUGGUUUAAUUCGAAGCAACGCGAAGAACCUUACCAAAUCUUGACAUCCUUUGACAACUCUAGAGAUAGAGCCUUCCCCUUCGGGGGACAAAGUGACAGGUGGUGCAUGGUUGUCGUCAGCUCGUGUCGUGAGAUGUUGGGUUAAGUCCCGCAACGAGCGCAACCCUUAAGCUUAGUUGCCAUCAUUAAGUUGGGCACUCUAAGUUGACUGCCGGUGACAAACCGGAGGAAGGUGGGGAUGACGUCAAAUCAUCAUGCCCCUUAUGAUUUGGGCUACACACGUGCUACAAUGGACAAUACAAAGGGCAGCGAAACCGCGAGGUCAAGCAAAUCCCAUAAAGUUGUUCUCAGUUCGGAUUGUAGUCUGCAACUCGACUACAUGAAGCUGGAAUCGCUAGUAAUCGUAGAUCAGCAUGCUACGGUGAAUACGUUCCCGGGUCU
rnacentral:rRNA from 1 species